rnacentral:rRNA from 1 species
AGAGUUUGAUCCUGGCUCAGAGCGAACGCUGGCGGCAGGCUUAACACAUGCAAGUCGAGCGGGCGUAGCAAUACGUCAGCGGCAGACGGGUGAGUAACGCGUGGGAACAUACCUUUUGGUUCGGAACAACACAGGGAAACUUGUGCUAAUACCGGAUAAGCCCUUACGGGGAAAGAUUUAUCGCCGAAAGAUUGGCCCGCGUCUGAUUAGCUAGUUGGUGAGGUAAUGGCUCACCAAGGCGACGAUCAGUAGCUGGUCUGAGAGGAUGAUCAGCCACAUUGGGACUGAGACACGGCCCAAACUCCUACGGGAGGCAGCAGUGGGGAAUAUUGGACAAUGGGGGCAACCCUGAUCCAGCCAU